CAGUAGUGAGGAAAGGUGUAUAGUUAAUAGCAUUACACUGUGACGUUAGCUACAGAAGAAGCACCGGCAAACUCCGUGCCAGCAGCCGCGGUAAUACGGAGGGUGCGAGCGUUAAUCGGAAUUACUGGGCGUAAAGCGCGCGUAGGCGGUUAUUUAAGUGAGGUGUGAAAUCCCUGGGCUCAACCUAGGAACUGCAUUUCAAACUGGAUAACUUGAGUAUGUCAGAGGGUAUUGGAAUUUCCCGUGUAGCAGUGAAAUGCGUAGAUAUGGGAAGGAACAUCAGUGGCGAAGGCGAAUACCUGGGAUAAUACUGACGCUGAGGUGCGAAAGCGUGGGGAGCAAACGGGAUUAGAUACCCUGGUAG
rnacentral:rRNA from 1 species